rnacentral:miRNA from 1 species
UCACCGGGAGUUCUGUGGUGA